rnacentral:rRNA from 1 species
GGGUUGUGAGGUUAAGCGACUAAGCGUACACGGUGGAUGCCCUGGCAGUCAGAGGCGAUGAAGGACGUGCUAAUCUGCGAUAAGCGCCGGUAAGGUGAUAUGAACCGUUAUAACCGGCGAUUUCCGAAUGGGGAAACCCAGUGUGACUCGUCACACUAUCAUUAACUGAAUCCAUAGGUUAAUGAGGCGAACCGGGGGAACUGAAACAUCUAAGUACCCCGAGGAAAAGAAAUCAACCGAGAUUCCCCCAGUAGCGGCGAGCGAACGGGGAGGAGCCCAGAGCCUGAAUCAGCAUGUGUGUUAGUGGAAGCGUCUGGAAAGGCGCGCGAUACAGGGUGACAGCCCCGUACACAAAAGCGCAUGUGCUGUGAGCUCGAUGAGUAGGGCGGGACACGUGGUAUCCUGUCUGAAUAUGGGGGGACCAUCCUCCAAGGCUAAAUACUCCUGACUGACCGAUAGUGAACCAGUACCGUGAGGGAAAGGCGAAAAGAACCCCGGCGAGGGGAGUGAAAAAGAACCUGAAACCGUGUACGUACAAGCAGUGGGAGCCCCACCACUAAGCCAGUGGUGAACUCCACAUACGCAUCCUUUGCUGAGGAUACGGUUAACGGAGCGAAAGCGACGUUCAACCGCAAAAGAAGCAGAGGGGGCUUAGUGGUGGGGUGACUGCGUACCUUUUGUAUAAUGGGUCAGCGACUUAUAUUCUGUAGCAAGGUUAACCGAAUAGGGGAGCCGGAGGGAAACCGAGUCUUAACCGGGCGUUAAGUUGCAGGGUAUAGACCCGAAACCCGGUGAUCUAGCCAUGGGCAGGUUGAAGGUUGGGUAACACUAACUGGAGGACCGAACCGACUAAUGUUGAAAAAUUAGCGGAUGACCUGUGGCUGGGGGUGAAAGGCCAAUCAAACCGGGAGAUAGCUGGUUCUCCCCGAAAGCUAUUUAGGUAGCGCCUCGUGAAUUCAUCUCCGGGGGUAGAGCACUGUUUCGGCUAGGGGGCCAUCCCGGCUUACCAACCCGAUGCAAACUGCGAAUACCGGAGAAUGUUAUCACGGGAGACACACGGCGGGUGCUAACGUCCGUCGUGAAGAGGGAAACAACCCAGACCGCCAGCUAAGGUCCCAAAGUCAUGGUUAAGUGGGAAACGAUGUGGGAAGGCCCAGACAGCCAGGAUGUUGGCUUAGAAGCAGCCAUCAUUUAAAGAAAGCGUAAUAGCUCACUGGUCGAGUCGGCCUGCGCGGAAGAUGUAACGGGGCUAAACCAU